AACGCGAAGAACCUUACCUACCCUUGACAUCCUCGGAAGCUGCUAGAGAUAGCGGUGUGCCUUCGGGAACCGAGAGACAGGUGCUGCAUGGCUGUCGUCAGCUCGUGUCGUGAGAUGUUGGGUUAAGUCCCGUAACGAGCGCAACCCCUAUCCUUAGUUGCCAACAGGUAAAGCUGGGAACUCUAAGGAGACUGCCGGUGAUAAGCCGGAGGAAGGUGGGGAUGACGUCAAGUCCUCAUGGCCCUUACGGGUAGGGCUACACACGUGCUACAAUGGACGGUACAGAGGGAAGCGAAACUGCAAAGUGAAGCGAAUCUUAGAAAGCCGUUCGUAGUCCGGAUUGGAGUCUGCAACUCGACUCCAUGAAGUUGGAAUCGCUAGUAAUCGCGGAUCAGAACGCCGCGGUGAAUACGUUCCCGGGCCUUGUACACACCGCGAGC
rnacentral:rRNA from 1 species